rnacentral:rRNA from 1 species
UACGGAGGGUCCGAGCGUUAUCCGGAUUUAUUGGGCUUAAAGGGUGCGUAGGCGGCCUAUUAAGUCAGGGGUGAAAGACGGUAGCUUAACUAUCGCAGUGCCUUUGAUACUGAUAGGCUUGAAUGUACUUGAGGUAGGCGGAAUGUGACAAGUAGCGGUGAAAUGCAUAGAUAUGUCACAGAACACCAAUUGCGAAGGCAGCUUACUAAAGUAUGAUUGACGCUGAGGCACGAAAGCGUGGGGAGCAAACAGG